ACCCUUUAAUGUUUGAUGUUCUAACGUGGACCCGUGAUCCGGGUUGCGGACAGUGUCUGGUGGGUAGUUUGACUGGGGCGGUCUCCUCCUAAAGAGUAACGGAGGAGCACGAAGGUUGGCUAAUCCUGGUCGGACAUCAGGAGGUUAGUGCAAUGGCAUAAGCCAGCUUGACUGCGAGCGUGACGGCGCGAGCAGGUGCGAAAGCAGGUCAUAGUGAUCCGGUGGUUCUGAAUGGAAGGGCCAUCGCUCAACGGAUAAAAGGUACUCCGGGGAUAACAGGCUGAUACCGCCCAAGAGUUCAUAUCGACGGCGGUGUUUGGCACCUCGAUGUCGGCUCAUCACAUCCUGGGGCUGAAGUAGGUCCCAAGGGUAUGGCUGUUCGCCAUUUAAAGUGGUACGCGAGCUGGGUUUAGAACGUCGUGAGACAGUUCGGUCCCUAUCUGCCGUGGGCGCUGGAGAACUGAGGGGGGCUGCUCCUAGUACGAGAGGACCGGAGUGGACGCAUCACUGGUGUU
rnacentral:rRNA from 1 species